rnacentral:rRNA from 1 species
UGCCAGCCGCCGCGGUAAGACGGGGGGAGCUAGUGUUAUUCGGAUUUACUGGGCGUAAAGGGCACGUAGGCUGUUUUUCAAGUUAAAAUUUAAAUCUUAAAGCUCAACUUUAAAACUAAUUUUAAAACUGUUAAACUUGAGUUUGGGAGGGGAUAAUAGAAUUUCUAGUGGAGAGAUGAAAUGUUUAGAUAUUAGAAGGAAUAUCAGUAGCGAAGGCGAUUAUCUGGCCCAAAACUGACGCUGAAGUGCGAAAGCAUGGGGAGCAAACAGGAUUAGAUA